rnacentral:rRNA from 1 species
UACGGGAGGCAGCAGUGGGGAAUAUUGCACAAUGGGCGAAAGCCUGAUGCAGCUAUGCCGUGUGUAUGAAGAAGGCCUUAGGGUUGUAAAGUACUUUCAUCGGGGAGGAAAACAAAACUAAUAAUUUUAUUUCUUGACGUUACCCGAAAAAGAAGCACCGGCUAACUCCGUGCCAGCAGCCGCGGUAAUACGGAGGGUGCUAGCGUUAAUCAGAAUUACUGGGCGUAAAGAGCACGUAGGUGGUUUUUUUAAGUCAGAUGUGAAAUCCCUGGGCUUAACCUAGGAACUGCAUUUUGAAACUGAAAUACUAGAGUAUCGUAGAGGGAGGUAGAAUUCUAGGUGUAGCGGUGAAAUGCGUAGAUAUCUGGAGGAAUACCUGUGGCGAAAGCGGCCUCCUAAACGAAUACUGACACUGAGGUGCGAAAGCGUGGGGAGCAAACAGGGAUUAGAUACC